AUAUUAAAUUAACAUGAGUUUAUGUUUAGAUUUCUAUGAUUUUUAUCAAUAUCCCAUAUAACAGGCAUAUGGUAUUUGUGGGGUUUCAAAUCUCUCUCUCUCUCUCUCUCUCUCUCUCUCUCUCUCUCUCUCUCUCUCUCUCUCUCUCUCUCUCUCUCUUUCUCUCUCCGUCUGUCUGUGUUCUUGUUUGGAAGAACUAUUUGGAAGAAAUUCAAGAUUUCAAGGACGCACGGAUUUGAAUUUAACUGGAGAGGCUGAGAGCUGAGGGGAAGAGUGACAUAAAGAGGAGAGAAGUUCAUUAUCCAGCUGAAAAGGAAACCAAUGGCUUUCACAGUCUCCAUGGGAACCAGCCUUUCUUUUGCUGUCAAACCUAUGAUAAGAAACCCUCUCCUUUCUCCCACUCCAAGGCAGCCCUUUUCAAACCGGGAAGCUCCAGGUCAGUUUCCCUUUCCAAGUUUUACGGCCUGCCAUGUUGUCCAUUCUGCUCAGCUAUUUAAAAAAUGUUGAAUAUCAACAAUGGCUUUCACUGGUGUAUUGUCAACUUUUGUAUGAAGCAAUCUUGGCUGAAUGAGAUGGGUCCCAGAGCAGGGAGGGCUUGGCUGCGGCAUGCACCGCAACACCACUGGCGCCUGCCUGGCUCUCUCUCUCUCUCUCUCUCUCUCUCUCUCUGCUGCAGGCAGGAUCAGGGAGGCAGGAGCAGCCGUCCCUCUAGUCCCUGUCUCAGCCCAGCCGCUGGGGUCUGGAUGGGGCUGGGAAAGCCACCCCCUCGUCAGUCCUCUCUGCAAACUCAUCCUCAUCUCAGGUUCCCCUCCCCCUGCCUCUGGCCCUGUCGUCUGGGAGCCCCUGAAGGUGUGACACCUCACACAGGAAUCGGAGAGCAGGAGCCCGGGGGCCAGUCAGAGCUGGGGGCAGCUGGUCCCAGGGGAGCAGUUCCCCUUCCAGGAGCGACAGCAGCACCUCUCCCACCCUCCUCACCUCAACACAGCAUCACAGGCCUGGAAGAACCAGUUCAAUCACCAUCUAGAUCACAAUCACCAUUGACUACGGGUCAUUCUUGAAUUGAAUAGGCAUUUCAUUUUUCUAGAAUAAAAAAAAAUAUAUAUUUGGUUACUUCUUCCCAUUCCAAAUGAACUAAUGACAGCUUAGUUACUUUAAAAAGUCUUUAUCAUUAUGAUAAUAUCAGUGCCACCAGUAGGUGUAGUAACACCAAUGACAGUAACACCAAUGAUAAAUUGGUAAUUGAGGAUUUCCUUAAAUGGAGGCCACAUAUGCUCAAAUCUAAGGUCAUUAACACUUUAAAGAUAAUUUACAAAAGUUGUGAUUAAUCAUUUUGCUCACAAUUUAAUUUCCCUUCAUUUUAAUUGGGUUACACCAAUUACACUUUUUACUUAGAGACACCAAAUUAUCAAUGGACUCCUCAAAUGUAUGACAUACUAAAAGGGUGUAAAAAGCUAAUAAUUUUCUUUAAAGACCCGAUAACGGUUUGCCACUGCAGG
rnacentral:lncRNA from 1 species